AGUCGAACGGUAACAGGGAGCUUGCUCCGCUGACGAGUGGCGAACGGGUGAGUAAUGCGUCGGAACGUGCCGAGUAGUGGGGGAUAACUAUCCGAAAGGAUAGCUAAUACCGCAUACGCUUCGAGAAGGAAAGCAGGGGAUCGCAAGACCUUGCGCUAUUCGAGCGGCCGACGUCUGAUUAGCUAGUUGGUGAGGUAAAGGCUCACCAAGGCAUCGAUCAGUAGCGGGUCUGAGAGGAUGAUCCGCCACACUGGGACUGAGACACGGCCCAGACUCCUACGGGAGGCAGCAGUGGGGAAUUUUGGACAAUGGGCGCAAGCCUGAUCCAGCCAUGCCGCGUGUCUGAAGAAGGCCUUCGGGUUGUAAAGGACUUUUGUCAGGGAGGAAAUCCCUAGCGCUAAUAUCGCUGGGGGAUGACAGUACCUGAAGAAUAAGCACCGGCUAACUACGUGCCAGCAGCCGCGGUAAUACGUAGGGUGCAAGCGUUAAUCGGAAUUACUGGGCGUAAAGCGUGCGCAGGCGGUUGUGUAAGUCUGAUGUGAAAGCCCCGGGCUUAACCUGGGAACUGCAUUGGAGACUGCACAGCUAGAGUGCGUCAGAGGGGGGUAGAAUUCCGCGUGUAGCAGUGAAAUGCGUAGAGAUGCGGAGGAAUACCGAUGGCGAAGGCAGCCCCCUGGGAUGACACUGACGCUCAUGCACGAAAGCGUGGGGAGCAAACAGGAUUAGAUACCCUGGUAGUCCACGCCCUAAACGAUGUCAACUAGCUGUUGGGGGUUUGAAUCCUUGGUAGCGUAGCUAACGCGAGAAGUUGACCGCCUGGGGAGUACGGCCGCAAGGUUAAACUCAAAGGAAUUGACGGGGACCCGCACAGCGGUGGAUGAUGUGAUUAAUUCGAUGCACCGCGAAAACCUUACCUGGGUCUUGACAUGUACAGAACUUUCCAGAGAUGGAUUGUGGCCCGAAA
rnacentral:rRNA from 1 species